UUUUACCCACCCGGGAUUGCCUUAGUAACGGCGAGUGAAGCGGCAAAAGCUCAAAUUUGAAAUCUGGUACCUUCGGUGCCCGAGUUGUAAUUUGGAGAGGGCAACUUUGGGGCCGUUCCUUGUCUAUGUUCCUUGGAACAGGACGUCAUAGAGGGUGAGAAUCCCGUGUGGCGAGGAGUGCGGUUCUUUGUAAAGUGCCUUCGAAGAGUCGAGUUGUUUGGGAAUGCAGCUCUAAGUGGGUGGUAAAUUCCAUCUAAAGCUAAAUAUUGGCGAGAGACCGAUAGCGAACAAGUACAGUGAUGGAAAGAUGAAAAGAACUUUGAAAAGAGAGUGAAAAAGUACGUGAAAUUGUUGAAAGGGAAGGGCAUUUGAUCAGACAUGGUGUUUUGUGCCCUCUGCUCCUUGUGGGUAGGGGAAUCUCGCAUUUCACUGGGCCAGCAUCAGUUUUGGUGGCAGGAUAAAUCCAUAGGAAUGUAGCUUGCCUCGGUAAGUAUUAUAGCCUGUGGGAAUACUGCCAGCUGGGACUGAGGACUGCGACGUAAGUCAAGGAUGCUGGCAUAAUGGUUAUAUGCCGCCCGUCUUGAACA
rnacentral:rRNA from 1 species